rnacentral:lncRNA from 1 species
UCGUGGAGACUGCUAAUAUUGAAAGGAUAAAAGAAGCCGACUUCCAAAAUGGAAGGAUAUCAAAGUACAAUCUGCGGCAUCUAAGUAAAUCAAUCAAAAUGGGAACAAAUGGAAGGAGAAUCUCAGUCCCACAAGAAAUCUCAAAUCAGAUCACUCAUAGCUAAGUAAGAAGAAGAAAAGAUCAGAAACUCACUUGAAAAAGCAUCAAUUACUACAAGACUAAAAGUAAGAAAAUCUCACGGACAUAUCUGAUAUAGAUAUGAGUUAAAGCCUCAUAUGAGCAUAUCUGAUAUAGACAUAUCAAAUGGUUGCAUUCCUCAAUCAAGGAAUCAACUCAAAUCCUUAACUGAGAAGAAAUCUCUUGGGUUUCCUUAUGAAGAGUAGAACCCAAAGGCUAUAAAAAAAGAAGACUGGAGGCAGACACGGGUUACACAAGUUCAAAGAAGAAUAUCAAAGUGUCUCAAUCUUAGUCUCAUAAGGCUUUGUAACUUUUAGUUUACAAUUAUUAUAUAAAGAGUAGGAUCGAGUUAAAUUUGUAACAUCAACUAAAGUUGUGUCACAAGGUCUGAAGAACAAAAUCAGUCUUCAAAACUUGUUUCUCAUCAUUGUACUCGAGCCCAAUAUUAAAAGAUCUAAGGAAACUUUGAAACCCAAGGGGACUGAAAGUAGGCACCACAUUGGUGAUCCGAACCGGG